AAUGGUAAAAUGACAAGUUAGAUUUUUUCUCUUGAUUUUUAGCUUUUUCUUCCUGGAAAAAAUUGCAAAUUCAACUAAAAAUGCUGAAAAUCAGGAGGAAAAAUUUGAUUUGUCAUUCUCAUAUU
rnacentral:pre_miRNA from 1 species